ACUGGAAACGAUGGCCUUAAAAUAAGGUUUCAACUGCCAUAUUUCUGAGGACCAACAAAGCUAAUUUGUGUUACUAAUAUUUGAAACAAUAAUGUAUUAAAAACAUUAAUGUCUUACAGACCUUAUAUUAUGCUCAUUUUCAGGUUCAUGAUUGUAUUUAGAGGUUAUAUCAGAAUAGGUUUACAUGGUUUAAUUUUCAACAAACACCAUAUUUUGUUGUAAUGCACAUUGCUGCAGCUCCUCUUUUCACCCUGUGUGUUGAGCUCUUUGUUUUGGCUACAGAGUGAGGCAUGUCACUUCUAUCCCAUCUUUGUUGUGAGUCGCAAAUGCGCAGUAGUGAGCUAAGGACUACUAGCCAGGAGCUAGCAGUGCUACGGUUAGCCA